rnacentral:lncRNA from 1 species
AUGGGCACCCAGGGGGGCGACCCCAAAGCCCCCCCACUCCCCCCUGCAGGGCUCGGGCUGGGGAGGCGACGCUGGCCCCGCGGGGAGCGGGACGGGGCUGGCUGGGUCCCCCCCCCCCGGGGGUGGGGGGCAAAUUGGGGUGCCCAAGGUCACGGUGCCCCGGGGCCGUGCCCGCAGCCGGGGGUCUCAGCCCGGCCCCGCAGCCCGCGGGGUGCUGCUGAGCUCGGCCUCGCCACGAUCCCCCCCCGGCCACCGCCGUGUCCCCAGUGCGCGCCUCAGUUUCCCUCGGUGGCCCCAAACGCCGCUGCUGCCAGCGGGCAGCUCCGGGUGCUUCGGGGGGCAGAGCGGCUUCCUAGGGCCUGCGGGGUGGCUUUCCCCGUGCGUGGCUCCCCGUCCACCAGCCGGGAGGGGGACGGGGCUGUGGGGACCCCCGGCACGGUGGCAGGGCAGCGCUCAGCUCUGCAGCUGGGGCACCCCGCGGCGUCCCGCGGGGCUGGGGCUGCCCGGCUGCGUGCCCCCGGCCCCAGAGGGGAGCUGGGGUCGCUGCUGGGAAGGGGGAAGGGGUGUGGGGAUGGGGCUGUCCCCGCAGCGGGGUGGCCUGGCCAUGACAGUGCUUUCUGCUGGUGGAGCAAGGCCCUGGUGGGGCUGAACCCCCCCCAUCCCAAGGCACGCGGCUUGGGAACGCUCCGGGGCCGGGGCUGGGGCGCACGGGUCCCCAGAGGCACUCAGCACCCGCGGGGUGGUCCCAGCCCCGUGCCAUGGCCCCGGACCCGGGCACAAACCCUCCCCGCAGCCCCUGGGCUGGAUCAGGCCCUGCCGAAGGCCCCCAGCCCCGGUGCGAGUGCUGGCCCAGCCGGGCCACUCAGCACCCCGCAGCGGGGACGUCUAGGGCCGGGCUCUCCCCGGGGCAAAGAACCCCAUGAGAACGGGGCGGCUGGAGCCCGCUGCUUUCUGGCAGCUCGGGGACCGCUGCCCUGUGCUUUGGGGAUGUUUUUCAGGGAAAGCAGACGAGAGCAGCACGAAUUGGUAACAGCAUCCAUGCUUCGGGAGAAAGCACGAGCUGGUUCCUAG